UAUGGCCAUAUCACAUUGAAACAUCAGUUCCUGUACAAUCACUGAAGUUAAGCAAUGUCAAAUCUGGUCAGUACCUAGAUGAGUGACCACUUGGGGAUACCAGGUGUUGCAAGC